AUGAACGCUUGCGGCGUGCCUAAUACAUUCAAGUCGAGCGAACGGACGAGAAGCUUGCUUCUCUGAUGUUAGCGGCGGACGGGUGAGUAACACGUGGAUAACCUACCUAUAAGACUGGGAUAACUUCGGGAAACCGGAGCUAAUACCGGAUAAUAUUUUGAACCGCAUGGUUCAAAAGUGAAAGACGGUCUUGCUGUCACUUAUAGAUGGAUCCGCGCUGCAUUAGCUAGUUGGUAAGGUAACGGCUUACCAAGGCAACGAUGCAUAGCCGACCUGAGAGGGUGAUCGGCCACACUGGAACUGAGACACGGUCCAGACUCCUACGGGAGGCAGCAGUAGGGAAUCUUCCGCAAUGGGCGAAAGCCUGACGGAGCAACGCCGCGUGAGUGAUGAAGGUCUUCGGAUCGUAAAACUCUGUUAUUAGGGAAGAACAUAUGUGUAAGUAACUGUGCACAUCUUGACGGUACCUAAUCAGAAAGCCACGGCUAACUACGUG
rnacentral:rRNA from 1 species